CAUUAAUUCAUCAGUAUUCUCACCGAUGGCAUCUGGAGAGACAGACGUAUUCCUGCUUUCUUCCAAGUCCUCAAAAGUGCUCUUUCGUCGCCAGGUAAACACUUGGACGACCACUUUGUGGAUAAUCAUUCCCUCCUGGGCUCACACUCCAGAGACCAUGAAGGGCUCCCUCCCGGAUUUUAAUGGAUCAAAGAAAAUGGUCUGAAGUGUGUCCGUGAUCACUGCCUGUGGCCCCCUCCUCUGAUGACAAGCCUGGAGUAGCACUGAGGACCGAGAGCUCUCUAGUGAUGGAAACACCCGGAGCUGUGUGACCUCUACCACCUGCUCAACCUCUCUGUGCCUGGUUUCCUCCUCCACACAGUCACAGAACGUACCUUGAAGGGCUGCUGAGAGCACCACCUUGGUUUUGGGUGCACUGCUGGUAUUAAUAGCAACGGAAGCAGAGAGUGGUGGAGAGACCACAGUGUGGCUGGCAACUCAUUCACCUUCUGCCCACUCCAGAUCUGGCACCUUCCAAACCCCACAGAACCCUAGACAAGGCCUCUGGUCUCAUCUGGUCCACCUCUUCAUGUAGGCCCAGCAGGACAAAUCAUUUCCACCGGACCCUCUCCUCCAGGGGAGCUUGCUCAGAGAUGUGGGACACAGUGCAGUGCCAACCAGGGGGAACAUAGUGAGUGUUUGUUGAUGGACUAAUUUCAGCCCUUCAGGAAGGUGCUCCUAUGAAGGGAGGUGGGUGAAACCAUGGCUGUGUGGCAGUGAAGCCAGAGGGAUGUGACAGCAGGGGCCACAGGACAGUCAGCUCUGACACAGGAGAAGGGGCAGGGAGCUGGGGGGGGCUUCCUGAAAGAGGGGGCUUUUGAGGUGGGUUUAAAGAAUGGAAGGAGGCUCAGGAAGCCUGGGGCAAACCAUUUGAGGUGUGGGGCUCUGAGGGUCGGGUCAGGGCUGCAGGACAGCAGCAGGAAAGAGCUGGAGGCUCCCUCCCCUGCAGCCAGCCCUUUCGGGUCUGGCAGGCAGGUGGGCGUCCCCAAGGAAAUCCCCAGAACGGGACCGUGGGUGGCCUGUGUGGCUAGCUGGGCACUCUGCAUCUGUAGCAGCCACACAGCUCCGAGGAGACGAGAUCGUGGGGCCUACUUACUUGUGUGCACUUUCCGGGACUGAAGUAGGUGGGGGAAGGCACCAGAGGGCCGCCCACCCGCCCCCACAGAGAGGGCCCCCGGCAGCCUUCUGUGAGUUGAGCAGCUGCACGGGAGACCUGUGUUUUCUCAGGCUCACCCGCGUGCCCAUGCGGGGCCUGAGAAAGUCCCUGUGUGUGUGCGUGACUCAGAGGCAGGUGGUCAGCCGAGGAAAUGACACCAGGCCCCUGCACGGGGUCUCCGCAUUCCAGUCCGUGUUCCCACGGUGCCCUGCGUCGUCAACAGCUCCCAAACAGGCCCUCUCCACGGGAACCCGCCCUCCAGGACAGGCACGGGCUCGCUGCAUGUCAGGAGGCUGAGUUCUAACUGACAAAUUGGAGAGGUUCCCCAAGGCAAGGGUUACUGAGCUCUGUCAUUCUCACUAAAAAUGUGAUUUAUAAUAUAUUCCUACUUGCCAGACACUCCUUUCCCCAGGAAUGAACACUUAACGCAGACAUGGGAGGCUAUCCCAAGGCCUGAGCCCACAGGCGCACACACCCCUCCAAGUGUUCACUGCAAAUGAGCAGACGUGCCCAGGCCCUGGGCAGCAUUUCGAUAAGUCUUCAUAUCUAAGCAAACACUUAAAAUUCAGGACAGGGCGAGAGUGGCCCAUGAUUGAUUUUAGCAUUUCACAUUCUAAAGGAAAGAUCUAAGGGUCUGAUGAAGGAGGUCGUAUUGGACCUCGGGGUGUAGCUCAGUGGGGCCUCCGGCUUAGCGAGCACGAGGCCCUGGGUUCCAUUCUCUGAACAAAAAAAAAAGAAAGUAAAGAAAAUGUAUUUCCUAACAUUCCUUAGAGUUUAUAAAAGAAAACAGUUUUUCUUGCUCCUUCAAUCAUCUGAUAUUUCUGAAUGCGGCAUGGGUCAGAUAGUGAAGAGCAAGCUGCGCCUUGGGACGGGCUUCCUGAGACCCUUUGUAAAAAACACACACAAAAGCAGCUGAAGCCGCCUGACUUCUCUUAGGAGUCGGGUUAAAGUUGCAAACUCAUUUUUGCGGGAGAUAACCAGAAAUCCUCUAAGCGGUCUAAGUGGGCAGGACCGGAUUUGAUCUCUGCGUCUGAUUGCCUAGCAGAAGUCAAGCAGCCAAUGUCUCAACAAUGUCUCCAUAUCAUGAAACUUCCUAAAAAUCUUCAAGGGAGUAACCUGAGCUCCUGAAAAAUGAUCUCGAAUGUCCACAGGACAAAGCUUCCCUUCUAAGAUAUAAAGGGGGAGCUGGAGCAGGCCUCCCUAUUCGACUCGACAGGAAUCUUGUUUCUUUGUCUGUGCUCUGGAGGGCUUCUGAGGAGGCGGCUAUGUCUUGGUUAAGAGGAAUGAUUAAAAGAAUUUACAUAUAGUAAGCAUUUAAAAUUGA